UUUGGUGGCCUGGCUUUUGGCAGCUGUCUGAGCCAGUUGUCUUCUUUCUCUCUCUUAACUCUUAAGUAUGCUUCCUUAUUCUCCUCUCACUAUAUUUCUCUCUCCUCCCGUUUCUCCUCUCCCCGCUCUCACUCUCUAUCUCCUCCAUUGGAGCAGUUUCUGAGGUUCAGGUGAAACCAAUAAUUAGUUCCGCCCCCAUUUGCGGCUCCCUUCCUACAACAAAGGCCUUCUCUGAGAAGCAAUGACGAUAAGUUCAGAAUCAAUACAAACAAUGAAAAAUCAAUUACAUCGAUAUUUCCCCAUUGGCGAUAAUCAACACUAAUCUUGAGGUUGACAGUACUUACCCUCCCGUCGUUGAAGCUUUUAGCCGAAAAAUUCUCGAAGCUGAUUGUGUUCUCUUCGCUUCUCCUCGGGAUAAAAGGAAGGAUGUGGCUCCAAACCGUGUUGCUUCUUCAGGGAAAACUCCUCCUAUCCUUGCUGUGAUAGUCCUUCUUGACUCGCAACUAUACUUGUUAUGAUGUGUGCUAUUUGGUUCUGCAGGAACAAAUUCAUCUUUGAAAACAUAUCAUUGAACAUAGUUCACACAAAGUUUUCGUUAGAACUGCAGCUCAUGACUACCCUUCUGCAUCAGGUUGGAUCCCCCUAAAGGUAUAAUCAUGUUAAAUGUGGACGCUAAUAAUUUGGUCUCUGGAUCACAUGUUGGGUUGGGGGUGGUUAAAAAAAAAAACGAGCUUGCAAUUGGGUAGUGUUGCUUGCUUCAGUUAAGAGGUGUGGUAGUUUUUUUUGGUUGAAUUUGAGUGAUGUAUCGUUUUUUGGGGUUGAUUUUUUAUAUUAUUAGUAGCAUUAUUGUCUGAUAUGUAACAGAAUUGUUGAUCUACAGGUACAAUUCUAUCGCCCCUUUCUCUUUCUUAAUUCUAAUUGGUUCAAUUUUCAUCUAACCUUUAAUAUGAAUAGCUUACUUGUGAUUUUUUGCCUAUAUUUCCAUUUUCUCCCAAUACUUUCUCUUUUUAAUUUGCUUAUAUGCAUAUGGUGUUUGCUGCCAAAAUUUAUGUUGUCAAGUUAGAUAUUGUUGUUGUGAGUGACUAUAGAGGGUAGUUGUUGUUUCACGCUAUUGCCGCUGUUGUUCUGGUGCUUCCUGUUACUGCUGUUCUGUUCAUCCAAAAAUCAUCGACCUGAAGUUGUUUUUAGCUCAUAGUCUCUUCAUUAAUGUUUUAGAUCUUGAAAAGUUAUUCAAUCUAGGCUCAAGAAUUUCUCGAUUUGGAGUUGUGUGCUAGGAGUUAUGCCUUCUGGAAUUUACUGCGGUCUGCUACCCUGGUUCUAUCGCAGCGGGUUGUUAUUGCUCAUUUGAUGCCUAUGUGGUGUUGUUGUGUUGAGUUGGUUGGGGUGAUAAAAUGAAUGCUUGGGCUUCUCUUAUUUAUUUUGUCUUCCCUUCUUCCAUUUUUUUACACAUUAGUUAUAAAGUUAAAAUGUGGUCAAUUUUGAUUAAUGACUAUUUGGAUAAUGGCUAAUUGAUAAAUUGCCAAAAUGAUGAGGAUUAAUGUAUAUGUAAAAAUUAGAGAUUUGAUUUCUCAGCAUUCUAAAGUAAGGGCCUUAUUUAAUUUUUUUGAUUAAGAUCGUUAAAUGUCUAAGUGAUUAUUUUCUUAAUGAAGGUUGCUAGAUAAUUUGCUCUGACAAGCAGAGGAGUCCAGACUCAAAACCCUCGCAUAACCAUCAUGGAACUGUUGCUCUUCUGUAAAUUUUCAUUUAAAAAAAAAGACGAUUCUAAUAUUUCUUAAUUAAAAUAUUGGAUGAUUUCAAAAUUGAACUAAUUGUUUUCAAUUAUCUUCAAUGAUUAAACCUUUAUAACACACUCUUGAUCCAAAAUGGACAGCCAUGUAUUACUUUAUUAUAAAUUAUUAACAGAGUGCUCAACGAUCCAUAUAAUUUCUUCUGUAGUUUAUGUAAUUGUUAACUUGAAAUCCUGUAUUAUACUAUUAUUACACUUUAUGCUUUGAUUAGGGAUCAAUAAGUGUGUUAACAGAUAAAACAAUGAGGUAUGCUUGCAAAAACAAGUAAACUAUCUCAGUAUUGAUCUAAGCUUGUAACAUACUAUCCCGUAUUAACUUUGUGGCAGAAUUUAUAUGAUGACACUACAAGUGUGAUAUCAAGAAUUCCUUUUCAACUAAAAUAUUUGGUUUUGGUUAAUUGGAGUUCUGGUCUGACUCUUUCAGGUUAAUACUCUAAGGUAGCAACUGCAGCUCAUUGCAUCAAGCAUAUAGCAAUGACAAUUAUGACUUCAAAUGCAACAGGUUCCUUUUCUUUAUCUUGUCGUUCAGGCAAAACAAAAUGUGUGCUUCAAAAGAGUUCACUGAUAUGUAGUACGGAGUAAUAAUAUUGAGCUUCGUAGCUUUUUGGCUUGUUCUUUUACACAUUUUGAGAUUCAUUUUUUAUGUCAAGAAUCUUCUAGGCCCAGAACUCUAUAUUCUUUGUAAAAUAUCUUCUGAUCAUGUGCUCUAUAUAGCUUGGUUUGAUUCUUGUCCAACUGGUUGUGUUAAUAUGUUCUUUUGGAUACAUUUAUAAUCUAUGAAUAUAAUCAAUUUGUUUUGUUCUGGAUAAUUUGGAGUGGAAGUUGCAUGUUAAAUUGUUAAUUGGUUGUA